UACGUAGGGGGCUAGCGUUGUCCGGAAUCAUUGGGCGUAAAGAGCGUGUAGGCGGCCCGGUAAGUCCGCUGUGAAAGUCGGGGGCUCAACCCUCGAAUGCCGGUGGAUACUGUCGGGCUAGAGUGCGGAAGAGGCGAGUGGAAUUCCUGGUGUAGCGGUGAAAUGCGCAGAUAUCAGGAGGAACACCGAUUGCGAAGGCAGCUCUCUGGGACGGUACUGACGCUGAGACGCGAAAGCGUGGGGAGCGAACAGG
rnacentral:rRNA from 1 species